CUGUGUGGGACAAUUAGGGUGACGAUUAGUUGUGAUAAGGAAAAGUUACACAUUACACAAAGAGUGUGUAACGCGUGCGGCAUCGCUAACCCACAUCCAUCCAAUUAACGUCUGGAAGGCAUGGCAAACAGUCUACAUUGUUGUAAUCACACCGUGGACCCGAGAUAAAUGCAUUCCGCGGCUCCGGGAUUGUGUUACAGGAAAAAUAUUCCUCCCAGCUCCGCAGUUAGGCCGCACCAGCAGCAGUAGUAGGCUGUUUCACGCUUGUUGCUCGGUUGUUAAGCAAUUCAGCCAACCAGAACAAAACCGGCCGCCCUUCCACCUUCCGGCACACGGACACACGACGGCUGAUGAUGGAGCGAUGGAGAAAAGUAGUGUACGCGUACGGGGGCUAGUGGUCUG